rnacentral:rRNA from 1 species
UACAGAGGUCUCAAGCGUUGUUCGGAUUCAUUGGGCGUAAAGGGUGCGUAGGUGGCGCGCUAAGUCGGGGUGUGAAAUUUCGGAGCUUAACUCCGAAACUGCAUUCGAUACUGGCGUGCUCGAGGACUGGAGAGGAGACUGGAAUUCAUGGUGUAGCAGUGAAAUGCGUAGAGAUCAUGAGGAAGACCAGUGGCGAAGGCGGGUCUCUGGACAGUUCCUGACACUGAGGCACGAAGGCCAGGGGAGCAAACGGGG